GAUGAACGUUGGCGGUGCGCUUAAUGCAUGCAAGUCGAGGGAGAACCAUUCGCUCCGUAAGGAUCGGAUGGGGAAACCGGCGAACGGGUGCGUAACACGUGAGGAACCUGCCCCGAAGAUCGGGAUAGCCCGGGGAAACCCGGAUUAAUACCGAAUACCUUCCCACCUCCACAUGGUGGAGGGAAGAAACAGUCCGCUGCUUCGGGAUGGCCUCGCGGCCUAUCAGCUUGUUGGUGAGGUAACGGCUCACCAAGGCAAAGACGGGUAGCUGGUCUGAGAGGACGAUCAGCCACACUGGGACUGAGACACGGCCCAGACUCCUACGGGAGGCAGCAGCAGGGAAUAUUGCACAAUGGGCGAAAGCCUGAUGCAGCGACACCGCGUGCGGGAUGAAGGCCUUCGGGUUGUAAACCGCUUUCAGGAGGGACGAAAAUGACGGUACCUCCAGAAGAAGGCCCGGCCAACUACG
rnacentral:rRNA from 1 species